GGUGAGGUGUCCGAGUGGUCGAAGGAGCACGCCUGGAAAGUGUGUAUACGGCAACGUAUCGUGGGUUCGAAUCCCACCCUCACCGCCA
rnacentral:tRNA from 2 species